CGCUUUCAUGUUCGCGAAGAAAAUUACCAGAAGGAGAACUUUUCAAACAAUUUGCAAAUGUCUGGGUUCAUCGUUAAAUAUCGUCAAUAUUUUAGAUUAUUUGCUGCUGACGAUUAACAGCAUUGCUUUUGAAAUGAUCACCAAGCUUGCUGUGGACUUGCUUUGUUCAAAAUAGGAGGAAAAUUGAUAGAUUAUUCUUGUAUAUUUAUGUGUACAAGAAGUUAGGCCAACUUCCGAGAUCACGAAAAAUAGUUUGUUGCCGAUAAUUAGAUUGGGAUUAAGACUUUGAAUCAAAAUGGGUACUGUAUCAGGCAUAAUCGGGAUGUCAUUUACUGCUGCCAUUGGCAUACUGUUGGUUGUGCUUGGCUGUGCACUAAAGGAGUUUCAAACAGAAAAGGGACCCUGGUGGGUGCUGUUUGUCUGUGAGUAUUCUUUAGUUGUUUUAUUAUACGAUAUAUUAUUACACUUGGUUAUGAUUCUUCAUUGAUUUUAUAUUAAAGAUUUUUGAUUAACUAGCAUCUUAAGUUGAU